rnacentral:ribozyme from 1 species
UUCUUUUCUUUUUUUCCCCUCCUAUCCUAGUUGAUUCAAAGUUGAUAUUCAUUUUGGCACGCAACCACCACCAAGAGAUGAUUGAAUGGAAAGAAGAGUGAGCAAGCGAUACGACGAAUCAGAAUACACCACUCUCCUUCUACUCUUCUCCAUCCUUUCCUUUCCUUUCGAUGCUUAAAAACAAACAAAAAAACAAUCAAGGAAACAAAAU